rfam:Ovis aries breed Texel chromosome 7, whole genome shotgun sequence.
UCCCUGGUGGUCCAGUGGCUAAGACACCACAUUUCCAAUGCAGAGGACCCAGGUUUGAUCCCUGGUCAGGGAA